UUGAAAUUUUAUAUUUGAAAAGAAAGAAAAAUGAUUUAUUUUAAAUUUUAUUUAUAUAUAAUAUUUCUAAUUAAACAUAACAAUAAUAAUAACGGUAUCUGUAAAACGAUCAUAAAUCACGAUCGAUGUAUUUUUCCAUGUCUCCACAAAGUUAGGUUAAAAGCCAGUAUACUAAUUUCUAUCCUCUGGGCAAUUACAAGCGAUGAACUAUAGCACUACGUGAUUAAUGCACAUGUUAAACAAGAUCACAUUUUCCAAUAUUGACUAGAUGAUAUCUGGAAAACAUUCCAUCCCACGACAAAAUGAUUUUCGACAUUACGGUUUAAAUGUCUAGUUCGUAAAUAGAACAAUUCAUUUAAACAAUUAUAAUACAACAACAAGAAAGAAUAAAAAAUGUUGAAAAAGAUCUAUUCGCAACAGGGAAGCGAGUUACGAUCAACUGACUCAUGUCGUCGAAUUAAUCGGUAAACGAACGAUAAAAGGCUUAUCUAAAAUUGCGAAUGAAAUCAGAUUAACGAGCUCUGCGGGAGACAUUGCGAUCAAUCCGCAGUUAGAUUAAAUAGGCUAGACAUCCAUUACCGGCGCGUCACGAGAAAAGGGGUGAGAAACGAAAAGGAGAAUAGGAGACGAUCCGUCUCGACGGCUUUAAACAGAUAGGAAGUUCAAAACGGAUAUAUUUUGGGAGAAACUACGAAGACAUACGCAUUUCUAGGAAAAAAUAUAAGUCACUGAUGAUUCAAUAAUCUCUGCAUCGUCUUAAUCGCUAUGGAUAUUUUAAAUUCUUAUAUCUCGACAACUGAUUAAGAUAUCGAGAUGAAACAAAAAAAGACUUCAGUGGCCGUUUCUUCUAUUUUCUCAGAUGCGAUGCGAAUAGGAUAUCAUUAAUGGAUCAUCGAGGGUGUAUCGGACGUUCGCAAGAAGGACGACAACCGGGCGACAAACGGCCACGAUGGAUACGCGUGAGGACGCGAUUAAUCGAUGUUAAGUGCGUUAUAAUGAUGUCGCCGUCGGGCAAAUUCGAGUCUCGUAAAAUAGCUUGUCGGGAGACUCGUGGAUUCUCCACGCGUAUUCUGCCGAGGUCUCGACCAAUAAUUCAAUGACGAUUGAUCCGUGCGUGCCAUCGAUGCCGCCAGAAAAUCUAAUACGCCAGUCAAUCUUUCGCCUUUGGAGAUUGAUGAAUUGGGAUUUAUCUUUGAAUCCGAAUAUAUUAUCUCCAAGCCUAUUUACGGAAUUAUUCAGUAAUAAAAUUACUGAAAAAAACAAUAAUAAUUCGAGGUUUAAAAUAUGC